GUGGUCAGGUAGAGAAUACCAAGGCGCUUGAGAGAACUCGGGUGAAGGAACUAGGCAAAAUGGUGCCGUAACUUCGGGAGAAGGCACGCUGACAUGUAGGUGAAGUGAUUUACUCAUGGAGCUGAAGUCAGUCGAAGAUACCAGCUGGCUGCAACUGUUUAUUAAAAACACAGCACUGUGCAAACACGAAAGUGGACGUAUACGG
rnacentral:rRNA from 1 species